rnacentral:lncRNA from 1 species
CGAGUUCUCAAACACUCGGAAAAGCUGGUAAUUUUCCUCAACAUAAAUAUCAUGUAAUGCUUAAUGGUCACAAAAGAUCAACAUACAGUAUUUAACAAUACACAGUGUAGAAUAUGUCAAGGUCUAAAUUGUCUAAAAAAGUGUGAAAUAAAUACAACAAAAGUAUCUACCAUCAGUAACACAGCCUCCAAACAACAACAUUAACAUACAUACAGACUGACGUAAGUUCCUGACUUAAAGGACACAAUGACUAGGCAACUACAGACUGACGUAAGUUCCUGACUUAAAGGACAUAAUGACUAGGCAACUUAUUACAGACUGACAUAAAUUCCUGACUUAAAGGACGAGCAUAUGAAUAUAUAUUGGGGUACUUUAUUAACCUGGAUUCAAAACUAGAUUUUUAAGAACUGAACUCACUUAUUUCAGGUAUUCUGAUAUAACUAUGAAUUGAGUCCAUUGUCUCAUCAAAGCAUUG